rnacentral:tRNA from 2 species
CUCAACUCUAAUAGUUUAUAAAAACAUUGGUCUUGU